AAACUCACCAGUGUAUAGUACUUCAUAUGGUCACGGUGCUAAUUAACUAAAUACUGCUCAUAACUCCAGAGUGAGGUGGUUCAGGUAGAUCGGGAUUGCCAUAUUGGAUCAGACCAUGAUCCAGUCCAGCAUCUUGUCACCACAGUGGCCAGUACUAGAUAUUUCAGAGGAAGAUGCAAUAAAAUCUGCAAUUAUGGAGUAACCUGUGCACAGUGGAUGUUUCCUUCUAAUCUCCAUUUGUCAGAGGUAGUAUUAAGCAGCUCCUUUUAGCUGGCUCAUAGAAGACAUUUAAAAAUAAGGAAUAUACCUUUGAAAGGCAAACAUGAUUGUUACACACAGAUGCACCCCAGAACAGCAAUCCCAAAACACCACCAACAACAACGAAAAGCAAGACACACAGUUAGGUGAUUUUCCUGAUGACAGUCCUGGAAUGG